rnacentral:rRNA from 1 species
UGGCGAAUAUUGCACAAUGGGCGCAAGCCUGAUGCAGCAACGCCGCGUGAGGGACGACGGCCUUCGGGUUGUAAACCUCUUUUGGCAGGGAAGAAGCGAAAGUGACGGUACCUGCAGAAAAAGCACCGGCUAACUACGUGCCAGCAGCCGCGGUGAUACGUAGGGUGCAAGCGUUGUCCGGAAUUAUUGGGCGUAAAGAGCUCGUAGGCGGUUUGUCGCGUCUGCUGUGAAAACCCGAGGCUCAACCUCGGGCCUGCAGUGGGUACGGGCAAACUAGAGUGCGGUAGGGGAGAUUGGAAUUCCUGGUGUAGCGGUGGAAUGCGCAGAUAACAGGAGGAACACCGAUGGCGAAGGCCGAUCUCUGGGCCGUAACUGACGCUGAGGAGCGAAAGCAUGGGGAGCGAACA